UUUAGGGGGCGUUUGGUUGAGGAUAAAUUUUAUGAAUAAUAAGGAAAUGUUAUAUAUAGGAAAAUGGUUAGAAAGUGAGAUAGGUAGGAAAAUGUAAAAAAAAGUUGUUUGAUUGGAAAAAAAAUUAUCGGGAAAAUUAGGUAACUUUAUUGAAAUCUAUGUUUGGUUGUAGGUAAAAUAUAGAUGGAAAAAUUAGGUAACUUUACGAAAAUAACCCUGUUUAUAAAAAAAAUUUACUGCUACUUUACCCGUACACAGGUUCCAUGACUUGGUUUUGCUAUUAUGUUCUGCUUGGUGUGUCUUUUAUGUGGGUAGUUGCAGUGCUUAGUUGCAACCCUCUCAGACCCAAGUUCUUCUCUAGUUGAAAAAGCAAUUGGAGUACCCAAAACAAUUGGAAAUAUGGAAAGAUCGUUGGACAGAACUUUGCUCAGACUAGAAAAUAUGUAUGCUGAAUAAAAGCUUCGAACAAGUUGGAUUAAAGAUUUGGAAAGAGCCCCCAUCCUCACAUAUUUCUCCUCCUAGCUGAUUCUGUAGGGAGACUUGCUUCAGUUGUGUAAUUUUCUCUCAAGCCUUGGUCCAGUUCAUGUACACCCCUCCCCUCAAGCCUCGGUCCAGUUCUUCUCUCAAGCCUUGAAAGGGUACGCUCGUCAAUUAGUUAUUAAACACUCUGAGCAAAUAGGUAGCAAAAUCACAAUACCACAUCUACAAAGGGAAACUUUCGCCGGCAAUUUGGACCAGAUACAUAUGACGAAUCUACUUUUUUCGACAGUAUCAAAAGCUAGGGAAUUAGAUUCAAUUUUUAUCUCUGAAUGCUGAAAAUAAAUUAAGAAGAGCAUUUAUGUUUGCCUAUAUAUAUAUCCACCCGCCAAGUUUAAUCUUGUGCUUGAGUCAAUACUUGUGAGCGUAUCAGAGAGAGAGAGAGAGCAAUGCUGAGAUCCAACGACUCCCACACCCACAUGUCAGAAAUUCGAAGGACUGAGGUCCCUCAAUACCACAAUGGUCACGUGGAUAUGAGGACUGUUUAUGAGAGAGAUGAGAUUGAGGGAACCCAGUACCCCAACCACCACCACCACAGGCAUCACAACCCAGAGACUCGUGAGAGGGUUGAAGUUGCAGAGUAUGAGCGAGUACCAGCUGAUUAUGGGGUUCGUGAAGUCGUCUAUGAAAAGGACGUGGAUGUUGAAACCGACCAACGCUACCAGCGAAGGAACAUGGGGUAUUAAUUAAGUUUGUUAUGAUCAUGUCGCUAUUUCGCUAAGCAGGUUAUAUAGUAUAUCAAAAUCGCCACAGUGCGUGUGUACUUGUAUUAAAUAAAUUCCUGCUUAGCAAUCUGUGAUGUCAAAAUAAUGUAUCAAAUAUCAAUAAAGAUUACAUAGCGGUAUAUAUAUGAUAUAUCCAUGUUUUAUGUGUGUA